GACGAACGCUGGCGGCGUGCUUAACACAUGCAAGUCGAACGGAAAGGCCCUGCUUUUGUGGGUGCUCGAGUGGCGAACGUGUGAGUAACACGUGAGUAACCUGCCCUUGACUUUGGGAUAACUUCAGUACACUGUGGCUACUACCGGCUAGGAGCUCCUCCCGCUUGGUUGGGCUUGGAAUGUUUCGGCGGUUGGGGAUGGACUCGCGGCUUAUCAGCUUGUUGGUGGGGUAGUGGCUUACCAAGGCUUUGCCAGGUAGCCGGCCUGAGAGGGUGACCGGCCACAUUGGGACUGAGAUACGGCCCAGACUAGUACGGGAGGCAGCAGUGGGGAAUAUUGCACAAUGGGCGGAAGCAUGAUGCAGCAACGCAGCGUGCGGGAUGACGGCAUUCGGGUUGUAAACCGAUUUCGCCUGUGACGAAGCGUGAGUGACGGUAAUGGGUAAAGAAGCACCGGCUAACUACGUG
rnacentral:rRNA from 1 species